GAAAGUAAUGAAGGGCGUACGGUGGAUGCCUAGGCUCUUACAGGCGAUGAAGGACGUGAUAAGCUGCGAAAAGCCGCGGUGAGGCGCAAAUGGCCCUUGACCCGCGGAUCUCCGAAUGGGACAACCCAAUAUCUUGAAGAGAUAUUAUCCCGCCGAUGCGGGAGGCGAACGCGGGGAACUGAAACAUCUUAGUACCCGCAGGAAAAGAAAAUAAAGAAUGAUUCCCCCAGUAGUGGCGAGCGACCGGGGAAGAGCCCAAACCGACGUUGUCUCGGCAUCGUCGGGGUUGUAGGACCGCGCCAUCGCAAGAAAGGCCGUGAGUGGAAGCGACUGGAAAGCCGCGCCAUAGAGGGUGAGAGCCCCUUACACGAAGCAGCCUGAAGCGUAGCGGACUCCUGAGUAGCGCGGGACACGAGUAAUCCUGUGUGAAUCCGCCGGGCCCAUCCGGCAAGGCUAAAUACUCGUAAGAGACCGAUAGUGAACCAGUACCGUGAGGGAAAGGUGAAAAGUACCCCUUGCAGGGGAGUGAAAUAGUUCCUGAAACCGUACGCCUACAAGCGGUCGGAGCAUCGAAAUUGAUGUGACGGCGUGCCUUUUGCAUAAUGAACCUACGAGUUGCCGUCACCAGCGAGGUUAAGUGCGAUGACGCACCGAGCCGCAGCGGAAGCGAGUCUUAAAAGGGCGCUAUAGUUGGUGGAGGCAGACGCGAAACCGAGUGAUCUACACUUGUCCAGGAUGAAGUCCCGGUAACACGGGAUGGAGGUCCGCACCAAUAAGCGUUGAAAAGCUUCUGGAUGAGGUGAGUGUAGGAGUGAAAGGCCAAUCAAACUCGGAGAUAGCUCGUACUCCCCGAAAGGCAUUUAGGUGCCGCCUGUGGCGUUCCCGACGUGAGGUAGAGCGACUGAUAGGAUGCGAGGGCUUCACCGCCUAUCAAGUCCUGACAAACUCCGAAUGCACGUCGGCCAAGCCAUGGAGUAAGGGCAUGGGUGCUAAGGUCCGUGCCCGAGAGGAGAAGAAUCCAGACCACCGGCUAAGGUCCCGAAAUACUGGUUAAGUUAGACUAACGCAGUCCGGCCCCCAAGACAGCUAGGAUGUUGGCUUGGAAGCAGCCAUUCAUUCAAAGAGUGCGUAACAGCUCACUAGUCGAGGAGCUGGGCGUGGAUAAUAAUCGGGUAUCAAACCAGUUACCGAAGCCGUGGGAUGCUUAAGCAUCGGUAGGGGAGCAUUGCAUGCGGCUUAGAAGGCGGGGCGCGAGCCCCUCUGGAGCGCAUGGAAACGCAAAUGUAGGUAUAAGUAACGACAAGGGGGGUGGGAUGCCCCCCCGCCGAAAGACCAAGGUUUCCUGAACAACGCUAAUCGGUUCAGGGUCAGUCGGGUCCUAAGCAUAAGCCGUAUGGCGAAGGCGAUGGACGAAACGGUUAAUAUUCCGUUACUGUCUUGGUGUGUGACGCGGCGACGGAGUAGUGACACGGCCGCCUCCUGACGGAAAAGGGGGUUGAAGCGCAAAGGUGUUGAGGAAGGCAGGCAAAUCCACCUUCCGAGCCGAAGCGCGAUAGUACGCCGCGCCCUUUUGGGCAAGGCGAUAGUGCCGGUAAUCAGACUUCCAAGAAAACCCGCUAAACUUCAGCACCAAGUCACCCGUACUCCAAACGGACACACGUGGUCGGGUAGAAUAUACUAAGGCGCUUGGGAGAUUCACGGUUAAGGAACUAGGCAAAUUGACCCCGUACCUUCGGAAUAAGGGGUCCUCGCUUUUGCGAGGCGCAGAGAAUAGGUCCAGGCAACUGUUUAACAAAAACACAGGGCUGUGCAAAUUUGAAAGAAGAAGUAUACAGCCUGACACCUGCCCGGUGCCGGAAGGUUAAGAGGAGAGCUCAUCAGCGAUGAGAAGGUUUGAAUUGAAGCCCCGGUAAACGGCGGCCGUAACUAUAACGGUCCUAAGGUAGCGAAAUUCCUUGUCGGGUAAGUUCCGACCUGCACGAAUGGUGUAAUGAUCCGGACACUGUCUCAACCGUGAUCCCAGUGAAAUUGUAGUAUCGGUGAAGAUGCCGAUUACCCGCGAUGGGACGAAAAGACCCCGUGAACCUUUACUAUAGCUUAACGUUGUACCCGGGCUGUCGAUGUGUAGGAUAGGCCGGAGGCGUCGAAUCGGGCACGCCAGUGUCCGUGGAGCCGUUGUUGAAAUACGGCCCUUUGGCCGUCUGGGUACUAACUUGGUGAAUCCAAGGACCGCGUUUGG
rnacentral:rRNA from 1 species